rnacentral:lncRNA from 1 species
UACGAAUACGAAUGUUAGAAUCAUGCACAUGUCUUUUUGACAGCAAUCUUACUCCAUACAGAAGCAGCCUCUGAGCUGUGGAGCCCAGCAGGAGGAAACUGGACCUGAGAUCAGAGCUAACAUCACUGUUCCUGCUCACAUUCAUCCCAGUGGAGUUUUCAUGUGGAACAAGUUCAGAUCUCAGGAGCAGACUCACCUUUAGUGGUUCUGUGUGGGCUGUGAGGUCCAGUCUGCUGCUCAUCAUCUGCACUCAAGUUCUGACGCUGACAUUCACUUUUAUCCGUUUCAGGGUCCAACACUGGAUGCGUUGCUACUAUUGUGGUUCUUAUCCUCCUUUUAGUUGUUGUUGGUGGGCUUUACUUGAAGAAUCGCAUCACACAAAAAAUGCACCAUAAUAUACAUUACUAUCAGCCCUUCACAAUAAGAGCUGGUCCACAUGCAGCACAGUGACAUGUACCUGUAACAGAAGAGAGCAGGUGGCCUUUAAUGCUGACAGAACUGAUUAUUAAUGAAUCCUUCUGUGAAGUGAGAAUUAAAUGAAUUCUGAUAUUUGGUGAGAUUCAGUUCCACUCUUGUGCAGCUUGAAGAGAAAAAAUGAUGGAGCGAACAAACGUUGUGUUAUUAAUGUUGUUGAGGACAAAGACGCAGUUAAUCACACGUCGCUGGUUGGAUCCCCGGCUCCUCCCGUCCACAUGUCCAAGUGUCCUUGAGCAACAGGCUGAAGCCCAAACUGCUCCUGAUGGUCAGACCAGCACCUUGCAUGGUAGCUGACUGCCAUCAGUGAGUGAGUGAGUGAGUGAAUGGAUGAAUGAGGGCAGCAGUGAUGUAUAAAUGCGUCUAUUUACCAAAUCUUCUCAGACUGCUUGUAGAGCUUAAAGCUCCUGACUGAGCUCCACAUGUGCUUUAAAACCAUCAGACUUCACUGAACUGAAGCUGCUGUUAACGCUGUCAGUCACUGUGAAUAUAAUGUGACUUUACAUUUGACAUUUGUGUUGUUGGCAUUAUUUGGGUGGAGCCUGUGUUGGUUCUUGUUUGUGUUUUAAGGUGCUCAGCAGUCUGUCAGGUCCAGUUCCACACUGAUGGUUCUGUUGUUCACUGAUGAUGCUCUUGUCGUGUUUCAGGUCAUUUCAGGCAGCGCUUCAUCAUUUCUGUACAAACGUUUGAAUAAAACAUGAAAACUGUCAAACUGUGUGUUGUGACUGUUUCUGAUGUUUCUGUGUUCAAACUGGGAUCAAAGAAAUAAAAGUGAUGUUAAUUUCUGGGUGUGAUUCUGAGAUGAUCUCUAUUUUACAGACAUUAAAACAGUUUGAAUGAAACAAUAUUUCAGAUACGUCAGAUUUAAAACAAAGCUUCUAACAAACAGACAGUUUACUGCACUGACAACUUCAUUAAUGCAAAU